rnacentral:rRNA from 1 species
CAGUCGCCGCGGGAAUACGUAGGGUGCAAGCGUUAAUCGGAAUUACUGGGCGUAAAGCGUGCGCAGGCGGUUAUAUAAGACAGAUGUGAAAUCCCCGGGCUCAACCUGGGAACUGCAUUUGUGACUGUAUAGCUAGAGUACGGCAGAGGGGGAUGGAAUUCCGCGUGUAGCAGUGAAAUGCGUAGAUAUGCGGAGGAACACCGAUGGCGAAGGCAAUCCCCUGGGCCUGUACUGACGCUCAUGCACGAAAGCGUGGGGAGCAAACAGGAUUAGAUACCCCGGUAGUCCCUGUCUCUUAUCA